rnacentral:rRNA from 1 species
UGGGGAAUCUUCCGCAAUGGACGAAAGUCUGACGGAGCAACGCCGCGUGAGUGAUGAAGGCCUUCGGGUUGUAAAACUCUGUUGUCAGGGACGAACGUGCCGAUCUACAAUACAUUUCGGCAGUGACGGUACCUGACGAGGAAGCCACGGCUAACUACGUGCCAGCAGCCGCGGUAAUACGUAGGUGGCAAGCGUUGUCCGGAAUUAUUGGGCGUAAAGAGCAUGUAGGCGGGCUUUUAAGUCCGACGUGAAAAUGCGGGGCUUAACCCCGUAUGGCGUUGGAUACUGGAAGUCUUGAGUGCAGGAGAGGAAAGGGGAAUUCCCAGUGUAGCGGUGAAAUGCGUAGAUAUUGGGAGGAACACCAGUGGCGAAGGCGCCUUUCUGGACUGUGUCUGACGCUGAGAUGCGAAAGCCAGGGUAGCAAACGGG